CUACACGACCGUACCGCAAACCGACACUGGUGCGCGAGAUGAGUAUUCUAAGGCGCUUGAGAGAACUCAGGAGAAGGAACUCGGCAAAUUGACACCGUAACUUCGGAAGAAGGUGUGCCCUAUUAGUGUGAAGUGAACAACGGAGCAUGAAUGGGUUGCAAAAAAUCGGUGGCUGCGACUGUUUAUUAAAAACACAGCACUCUGCAAACACGAAAGUGGACGUAUAGGGUGUGACGCCUGCCCGGUGCUGGAAGAUUAAAUGAUGGGGUGCAAGCUCUUGAUUGAAGUCCCAGUAAACGGCGGCCGUAACAAUAACGGUCCUAAGGUAGCGAAAUUCCUUGUCGGGUAAGUUCCGACCUGCACGAAUGGCGUAACGAUGGCCACACUGUCUCCUCCUGAGACUCAGCGAAGUUGAAAUGUUUGUGAUGAUGCAAUCUCCCCGCGGAAAGACGGAAAGACCCCAUGAACCUUUACUGUAGCUUUGUAUUGGACUUUGAACAGAUCUGUGUAGGAUAGGUGCAGGCUUUGAAGCAGGGUCGCCAGAUCUUGUGGAGCCAACGUUGAAAUACCACCCUGGUGUGUUUGAGGUUCUAACCUAGGUCCAUUAUCUGGAUCGGGGACAGUGCAUGGUAGGCAGUUUGACUGGGGCGGUCUCCUCCCAAAGCGUAACGGAGGAGUUCGAAGGUACGCUAGUUACGGUCGGACAUCGUGACGAUAGUGCAAUGGCAUAAGCGUGCUUAACUGCGAGACUGACAAGUCGAGCAGAUGCGAAAGCAGGACAUAGUGAUCCGGUGGUUCUGUAUGGAAGGGCCAUCGCUCAACGGAUAAAAGGUACUCUGGGGAUAACAGGCUGAUACCGCCCAAGAGUUCAUAUCGACGGCGGUGUUUGGCACCUCGAUGUCGGCUCAUCUCAUCCUGGGGCUGUAGCCGGUCCCAAGGGUAUGGCUGUUCGCCAUUUAAAGAGGUACGUGAGCUGGGUUUAAAACGUCGUGAGACAGUUUGGUCCCUAUCUUCCGUGGGCGCUGCAGAUUUGAGGAAGCCUGCUCCUAGUACGAGAGGACCGGAGUGGACACACCUCUGGUGUAUCGGUUGUCACGCCAGUGGCAUUGCCGAGUAGCUAAGUGUGGAAGAGAUAACCGCUGAAAGCAUCUAAGCGGGAAACUCGUUUCAAGAUGAGAUCUGCCGGGGCCUUGAGCCCCCUAAAGAGUCGUUCAAGACCAGGACGUUGAUAGGUCAGGUGUGGAAGCGAAU
rnacentral:rRNA from 1 species